CCGUUGGUCAAGUGGUUAAGACACCGCCCUUUCACGGCGGUAACAUGGGUUCAAAUCCCGUACGGGUCA
rnacentral:tRNA from 1 species